CUGCGCAUAAACUUAACUGCUCCCUGCGCAUAAACUUAACUGCUCCCUGUAGAUACAGAAACUGGUGCCUCUUUUUCUGUCACUGUGUUUGAGCAGGCAGUCUGUUGUAAUGACCCCCAAAUCACAGAGACUUAGUAAGUACUUAUUCAUGGGCCGGGCGUGGUGGCUCACACCUGUAAUCCCAACACUUUGUGAGGCUGAGGCAG
rnacentral:lncRNA from 1 species